GCUUCUCUCUCUGUGGGGGAUGCUUAUCUCUGCGUGCCUAUGUGCUUCUAGGUUCCUUCUUUCUUCCAUGAUCUUAUCUUAAGUGGAACUCAUGUUUUCAUUUUUAUUUUUUCUAAUGAAGAAAAUAUGUGACAAAGCUUCAAAUCAUGAUUAUGGAAGGUGCCUGCUGAGAUAUAAAAUUGCCACAUUCUAAAUCCAACAAGUGCUUGCCAAUGGAGCAUCUUCACGGAUGGAUUUUAUACUGAUUAAUAGCAUCCAUGUGUGUGG
rnacentral:lncRNA from 1 species